GAGAUCAUACUUCACAGAAUCAUUUCUGUAGUAUGUAUUUCUUCGCUGUUAGCGAAAAUGCGACGGAGCGCAGCCGCGAUGAUGUGGCAGGGCGUCAUCUCCAGAGCGGGAAGAAGUGUGUCAUCCUCACUCCUACAGUGUGGGUGUCAUACUUGAUGACUGCGUGGAGAACCUUGAAUUAGGUUUUCCGGAAGGAGUUGACGCGUGCUGAGCGGUCAAACCAAAGAGAAUGAAUUAUGAGUGGUUAUUGACCGAGUGGUCAUUGAUAUUUUGUGUGAGUCACUUACAGUAUUUCAAGGUGUAGUUGCUCCAUAAAAUAUUGGAGAAACAUUGUCUGCAAACAUCCUUUUAAAGGUAAUUCAAAAUAUGCACGAAUUGCUUCAUAAUGACAACGACGCAAUCUUGCGUUACGCAUCCUGGUUAACUGCAUCAAUAAUAACAAGCAAAGUAGAAGAGUUGAACAGAGUUUUAUCUUUUAUUAAAAUCAGUGGGAAAGAUAUUUGACGGAUGUUGUCCAUAAUUAAUAUUCUUUUGAAGGUCAUUCAAAAUCUUGCACUCGUUCUAAUCGACAGUAUUGGUGCAGCAUUAGCAUUUACAGCUUGGGGAUACUUCGAUGGAGGUUGAUUCUUUCAUUGGAGUGUUCUCCAACUAGCAAAAUACAUACGAAUUAUGUUAUACGAGACAGCUUUUUAAUAUUUGGUUGUAUCAUUCUAGAUUUCUGUGCAAUAUAUAUCUUAAGGUCCAAAUUUUGCAGGUGAUUCUUAUAAAAAUAUUUGGGAUUUCAUAUGGAAAAUCUUGAUAAAAAAGUUUAAAUGAACGAUUUAUCGUUUGUUGGUUCCCUGAUUAUAUUUCCUUGUAAAAAAAAAAAAAAAAAAGAUCACUAAAACUCACCAAAUUUAGGUCGGAAAAUUCAGGAUGAAAUUAUUGCUAUACUUCGUUACAUGGCACAUCGUGGUUGUGCCAUCGUAACAACAAACCAUUUUGUUUACUGGCGUGGGGAGCCAUCACCAUCACUUGGUAAACGAUGGAUCAAAGCGGUUGAUUUCAGAUAUUUACUAUUCAAAUUAUCAGAUUCCAAUUGCUAUAUGCAAAUCAUCUCUCCGAAUCAUCACAAGGUCAAUACCAUUAUUAUUAUUAUUAAAUUAUUGAUAAAUGUGGUCACUCACAUGGCUUACCAAAUAUUUUAAACAAGAAUUUUGGUCUUCGCCGUUAUAAUUCCAAGUCUAUCACCAGAUUAAUAUUUCUUCUCCAUUAGUUUUCCAGAGAUAUCUUCUUCAUUUGCCUCGUUAUGGUCGUAUUAUAACUUCUUUUUUGUGUGUUAAAUAAGGUUUAUCUUCAGUUUGGUCUUUUCAAUAUCAUUCAUUGGAUUCGAGAUGUUAUAAAUUUCACUUUUCACUCCCCGCUAUCUUUUUUUUCAUUUCUGUUUUUACCAUUUCUUUUUCAUAUGUUUUAUAUUCUUCACAAAGUUAUUCCAUGUAUCAUAACGGUAGCGAGUUGCGAUUUCUUAUAAUCACUAAUUGAAUGAGAACUGUUUCGUCACAUUUAUGAUUUAGCUCAAACUAUCAGUUGAGUUCCCUUUUUUUCAGUCUUUUUGAUAUAUUUUAUGCGUAACAUUAAUUUUCAAAUUAGAUAUUGCAAUCACAAUCAACCAGUCCGUUCUUUCAUUACCUUUCGUAUCAGUGUUUGCAAAUGCACUCAUGUAUCGGCUUGUUUUUUUUUUUUUUUUUUUUUUUUAAUUUGUCAGCUAAUUAAUUUGCAUUCCUUAGGUCACUUUAAUAAAUAUUUGCUUAAAAAUCUAAACCAGCAUUUUUUUCCUGAUCUACAUUAAUAUAUCAUUCAAUGUCCUCUUUUCGAUAUUCUGCUUUACUUGUAAUAAUCCGAUAUCGCUGCAUAGAUGUAAUUUUCAUAAUUAUAGCUCCUUUUGUUUAAAGCAUUUAAAAUGAUUUAGUACAAACUAAUUUCAGUGAAUGAUUUCUACCUGUCUUGAAUGAAUUGUUUUGCCUUCAUUUGACUUAAAUAUCUUUAAACUACUUUAUAUAAUACGAAAAAUAUAUAAUACGCAAAAACGAAUCUUUGUAAUAAACAAAAAAAUUUGAAAGAUGUUGAAAAUAAUGUUUAAAAUUAAAAUCGCUGAACAAUGUUCUCUUGUCAUAGUUUCAUUUACCCUAACUAUAUUAUUUCACAUCUUUCAGUAUUGCUGCUGGACAUUUCCCUGUUCUAAUUCUUCCGAUUAUCACUGUUAACAUUUCUAUCGAUAACUGAAAUUAUUAACUUUGCCUUUCAUCUACAUUGAAUCUUUUAUUUUUCAAUGCUCUGUGAUGCUAUUGCAGUUAUGAUUAACGAAGGUUUUUAGAUGGAAUUUUCAUGGAGUAUUAAUGUGAUCCUUUACGAAUUUCGGACUCUCAAGUACCAAAAUUGUCAUUCGCUUUAUGCUUUGUAAGCGAAAUUUCCCGAUAACGUUGUAGGCCUUUUUCAUUAUCACACUACCAGUAAUUAAUCACCAUUCCACAUCAGAUCUUAGAUAUAUUCAUCCUUUCUACUACUUUAGAAAAAUACGGCCACAAAUAAGGUAUCUAUCCAAUCGAUAUUUCCUCGAAUUCAUACUUCCAUCUUUUUACCAUCCUAGCUCGUUUAUGAUGCAUGUUGGCAUAUUGUAUUAAACUGUUUAAUUAUUCUAAGAUAUAAAUUUCUUCUUUAAAAAAAUCGUAAUCUAUCUGUUUUGUCUUCAUAAGAUUUAGAAUAAACUGUCAAAUUUAAUAUGCGCUAUCAUAUUGGUCUCAUAAAUUGAUUUCACUUAGGUCAAAUAGUAAAGAAAUGGUAAUACGAACUAUGUUACUUUUACUUCAGUCUUGUCUAAAAUGUUUAUUUAACAUUUAACACUUGAUCACUCUGAAUAGGCAAUGAUCCUUCAUAAUAGUUACUGCUUUUUUGUGAAACUUAAAGUAUUUUCAUUCAGAGACUUAAUUUACCACUGAGUAUUUCUCUUUUACCUAUACUUUUACCUAUUUAAUGAAAAACUUUUCAAAACAAUAAGAACGUUGACGUAGAUGUUCAAGAUGUCCUAGCCAUUUAUCAAUCAAAAUUUGAUAUCAAACUUCCAACAAACGUCAUAAAAGUCAUGAUUGUGAUAUUUACACACCAGUAAUAGUCAUUGAAAAAUAACAGGAUUUUUUCACUAAAAUUAACUAACUUCAUUUUUUUUCAAACUCUUUCUGAAAACCGCAAAAUAUGGAACUUGAAAAAAAAAUCUUUUUUAGGCGGUUGACGACAAAGUAUUUUAUAAAAUUUCGAAGAAAGGCAUCGAUUCGCUCACCAACGAAUCACAAGUGGUACAAACGCAGUAUACGGAUGCAGUAAUGACGCAAAACUGGAAAACUAUUAAACAAAUCUAUGCGCAGAAUGAUUAAACUGUAAUAUUUAUUGGACAGUAAUUGAGAAACUUUAUAAUAUCAGACAAAGAAUCACCUCAUAUUUCUUAAUGUAUUAUGCAUUCCAUUGUCAUUAUCCUAACGUAAUCGACGCUGAACAUAUCUUGCACAUACGUUGUAUUACCAUCACCUAUAGCUUAUUUUGUCUGUGGAUACCAAUUUUGUUGGAUCAACAGAAGUCGAAUGCUUUAGACUGAAGUUGGAACAUUAUUACUAUAUUUCAAUGAAUUUUGUCGUCUUAUUUCAAAUUAAAGCUAGCAUAUUUCAUAAAUUUGAAUUUCUGAAGGUGAAACAUUCCGGUAUCUGCUAUUGCACAUUGAGGAAAUUGUACAUUCCUAUUGUCAUAUUUUUCUAGGGAAAUUCAAGUUUGUAGCAAUAUUCGAAAUUUCCUUUCGAGAAUAGUAUUUUAUUAAAUAGUGUUUUCCAUAUUCAGAUAAUAUUUCGUACACUCAAAUAUCCAAAUACUUCACCAAACGUAGCAGAAUAUAAAUGACUUUAUGGGUUCGUAGUUGUGGAAAUGGCGUGUGUAUUGAUUGGUGAGGCUAAUUGUCACUGAGAGAGAGUUGUGACGAGAGAAGUAGGGAGAUUGUGAAGAUGGCGUGAGUGGCAGAGAAGGAGGGAGUAGUUUUAAAAGUUUUUGCAAUAAGCCACUUAUCAUUUGCAGUGGAAAUAAGUGAAAAGAAAAAUUGGGGAAACUGCAAUCGAGAUCAUACUUCACAGAAUCAUUUCUGUAGUAUGUAUUUCUUCGCUGUUAGCGAAAAUGCGACGGAGCGCAGCCGCGAUGAUGUGGCAGGGCGUCAUCUCCAGAGCGGGAAGAAGUGUGUCAUCCUCACUCCUACAGUGUGGGUGUCAUACUUGAUGACUGCGUGGAGAACCUUGA
rnacentral:snRNA from 1 species